rnacentral:rRNA from 1 species
UACAGAGGUGGCAAGCGUUGUUCGGAAUUACUGGGCGUAAAGGGCGCGUAGGCGGUCUUGUAAGUCUUGUGUGAAAUCCCUCGGCUUAACUGAGGAACUGCACGGGAUACUGCAUGACUUGAGAUCGGGAGAGGGGAAGCGGAAUUCCGGGUGUAGCGGUGAAAUGCGUAGAUAUCCGGAGGAACACCGGUGGCGAAGGCGGCUUCCUGGACCGACACUGACGCUGAGGCGCGAAAGCUAGGGAGCAAACGGG